rnacentral:lncRNA from 1 species
UGUAUUUAAAAGUUGAUUCUGCAUUCUAAAUUGAAUUCCAAGUGUCUAUUUCAUUGCUUUGCUUGCUAUCGCUUUAAGAACGUUUGUUAUUCCUACCCUUUCUUUAUUAGCCAUUACCCCCAAGCCCUGUUAUGACCCUUGACUUCAAUCUUGAGUGUUGUGUGUUUCAAUUUGUGGAGUUCGAAAUUGGUAUGAGCAUAUGGUAUCACUGGUUCUCGCAUCUAAGUAGUAGCAUUCCAUUCAUGAGAUCAUAUCUAAACAUGCUUAAUAACUUCAGAAAACUGCUUUCUUUGUUAUAACAUAUGUGAGUCCUAGUCUUUCGCGUUUACAUUAAUCUUCUCAUAUAUACUAGUGUAGGGUGUGUAGUCAGAAACUGUGUGUGAAAUUAGAGAGUAUCUUGUAAGAAAUUGAGCAAAUUCUCUAAAGCAUGUUACUACAUUCAAAACAUCGUUUUAAUUGGUUAAUUGUGAACUAAUAAGUGGUGACUGUGAUUAAGUUUGUGCUCAAGUGUAAAGAUGACCAAAUUCUGUGGGAAUGAUGAUUUUUAACAUGUCAUGUUUCAUUAAAAAUCCCUGAGGCAAAUGUUGGAAGGUCUAGGUUGUGUUUUGUUUGUUUUGUUUCGUUUUGUUUCUUUUGUUUUGCUCGAGGACUAGCAAAAGCUAAGUGUGGAGAAAUUUGAUAGGAGCAUAUUUAUGCGACUUAGUUAGCUUGGUCUUGUGCAUUUGUGUUGUUAUUUCUUAGUUGAUUUAGUAUUUCAAGCCAUUUUCGUGUGGUUGUAGGUACAAAGGGUUAAAGAGGCAAAGAAGUGCAUUUUGGUGCCUUUUGGAGCAGUUUUGGCAUGGAAUGGAUAUCACAUGCAUGGAGCAAAGUGGUUGGACGAAAUUAAAGAUCUAAAGAAGCUAGGAAUGUGCCAAGGAAAGGAAGAAAAUAAAUUAAGGACCAAGGAAGACAAGGAAACCAUUAAGAAUGAGGAAAGACUAGUCAAACUUGCCUUAUCUUGUCGUUACCUCUCCUAAUCCGAA